UACCACGGGGUAAAAUAUCAUACCAACCAUUACGUCACUUUUUCUUUCUUUUUUCUUCUUCUUCUUCUUCUUCUUUUUAAAUUAUGUUGUUUGUAGUUUUAUUUGUUACCUUAACUGCAAAAAAUGGUAAAUAUAUCAUAGGUAUGGGUACAAGACAUCGAAAGAUUUAAUUAAUGUAUCUUAUGUACAUUAACUGAUUAAUUAAUUGAUUGAUUUUAAGGAGGUAUAUUCUCUAAUCCAUCAUUUAUUAAGAACACGAUGAAAUGGACAGGUUUAUUUCCUUCAGCCUUAUUAAAUUAAUGUUAGUAAUUACUGCAUGGGGGAGUUAUUCGUUUCAGUAAGCUUUUCACAUAAACGCGUUAAACGUUUAGGAUACAAAAUAAGUUAUUAUUCUGAUACUAUAGAUUCUAACUUAAAUCAAUCUGGAUUACGUUGACAAAACAGGACUUGAAAUUGUUCUUUUCUUUAUUUUCUAUUACAGUUCCAUUAAUAUUUUGAAAAUUAGCUACAUGAAGAUGCUUUUCAUAGCAAUAUAAAUGUGAUCUAAAUUGACAUUUUAGCUGGAGCGCAUACCAAUUCAUUUUUGCAAUGACAUUUUAGCUGGAGCGCAUACCAAUUCAUUUUUGCAAUGACAUUUUAGCUGGAGCGCAUAGCAAUUCAUUUUUACAAUGACAUUUUAUGCAUCAUAUGCACGCAUGCUGCACAUGCGGUGCUUUUUAUAAUGUGUAAAUGCUAGAUCUGUUGAAUAUUUAUGACGUGACAAGAUAGAAAAUUUAUAACACGAUGAGAAGUUAUUUUCAUGUUUUAUGGAUUUUAUGUCUGAUGCAACUGAUAUGCACGUGCCAGGCAAGGAAACAUCUCAAAAAAGCACGAGACAAAAUACAAAAAUCACAUGCAGAAGAAGAUAAACUAUCAGCACGUGUUUCCCUGUCUUUAAAUGAUGUAGUGCACAAAAUAUGUCUGCCUUCCGGAUCUAACAUAUUGGUUUACAGAUAUCAAAAUGACUCUCAUAUAUUCAUAGGAUUUGAUGACGUAAAACAGGAUAGAGUCUAUUCAAUGUCAUGGAAAAUUAACGAAGGUAAUCCAGAAGCGUUAACUAGCAAUAGCCGGAAUAGGUUCAAGGCGCUUCCUGCAUCCCAGGUCCGGAAACACGUGAAAACUGAGCAUUUACUGGCGGCAGCUGAUGAAAACUUGCAGAACAAAUUCCGUGAGCGUAUUACCACUUGCAGUCAGUCAAGGAUUACCACAAGGGCAUGCGUAAUACAGUCGUUUGCUGUUCUGGCAAGGAAAAUGAAGGAAGUUUCUUUUGGAGAGACCUGUAAUACAUAAUACCACAUACAAACUGCAAUAAAUCAGUACGUGGUUUACAAACAACUUAUGUUUAUUUGGCAUCUUACGUAAAGGUUCACAGCCUUUGUGUCUGUGCCGUUUCCCUCUCCGAAAAGUUGCUGAUUCUAGCAUCAAGUGGUAACAGACAAGCCAUGUUAGAACUGUAGAUAAAAAAGCAGAGCAGAGAGAACAGAAAGUUUUAUUUUACACUUACGCAUUAUGCUCCUGGUCCAUGUGCAAUUAAAUCCAAGGUCAACAAUACAGUCAUCUGUG